rnacentral:rRNA from 1 species
GUCUAUGGCCAUACCACCCUGAACGCACCCGAUCACGUCUGAUCUCAGAAGCUAAGCAGGGUCAGGCCUGGUUAGUACUUGGAUGGGAGAACCCUUGCCUUAGAGU